UCCUUGUCCAGAGAUGUUUAUGUAAAAGGAGUAAUUUUUUAUUUUUUUAGGAUUGAAGUUUUGCAAUUGAAUAUGGCCAAUGUGCUUUUGGAGGAAGGGAGGAUCAACGCAGUGCACAUGCUUUUAGAGAAAGAGAUUGAUUUGAAUGCAGAGGAUGAAGAAGGGUAUGCUAAUAUCAUCGACAAAUACAUGAAAAAUUCAUAGAGAAGCUUUUGUGCUGAUGUUGAAGCCAGGAGUAAGAAGGGUUCAAUCUUUCUUUCCAAGAAAGCAUUGAUGACAAUGAUGAUUCUGAUGAAGGGAAAGAUGAAGAUGGAAGGCCCUAUUUUUUUGAAAUAGAAAGAAGUGAUAGUUUUUUAGACAAGGAACUUGCUGCUAGUGGCUUUAUUAAAAAGGAUAAAGAAGAUAUUCAGAGGUUCAUUGAAGGUGGAGCAGAGGCUGAAACAAACUUAGAUAGUGAAGUUGACUCAGUGGAAGACCUGAAUGAAUCAAUCCUUCUUCAGGUAUAUAAAAAGGAUAAUUUUUACAUAAUAGAUGGUGA